rnacentral:rRNA from 1 species
GGGGAAUUUUGGACAAUGGGGGCAACCCUGAUCCAGCCAUGCCGCGUGAGUGAAGAAGGCCUUCGGGUUGUAAAGCUCUUUCGGCGGGGAAGAAAUGGCAACGGCUAAUAUCCGUUGUUGAUGACGGUACCCGCAUAAGAAGCACCGGCUAACUACGUGCCAGCAGCCGCGGUAAUACGUAGGGUGCGAGCGUUAAUCGGAAUUACUGGGCGUAAAGCGUGCGCAGGCGGUUUCGUAAGACAGACGUGAAAUCCCCGGGCUCAACCUGGGAACUGCGUUUGUGACUGCGAGGCUAGAGUACGGCAGAGGGAGGUAGAAUUCCACGUGUGGCAGUGAAAUGCGUAGAGAUGUGGAGGAAUACCGAUGGCGAAGGCAGCCCCCUGGGUUAGUACUGACGCUCAUGCACGAAAGCGUGGGGAGCAAACA